GAGAGAGAAAGAGGUGGAGAGAGAGAGAGAGAGAGAGAGAGAUCCUGUUAUGUGGCUACACUGUUUUGACGUAAAGGUACUGUAGAGAUAGUGAUGAUGAUGACACUGUGUUGCUGUACAGCUUGUUCUCCUGAUGUGACUCCCAGCCAGACUUCAGUAUCAGACACAAUGUCCCAGACUGUAUCAGACGUAUGUUGACUGAGAGAGAAAACAGUCUUUGACCUGCUGGACUUUUAGUAAAUACUGAGUGCGCUCAGGCCUCACCUCCAGCCUCACCUCCAGCCUCACCUCUUGCCUGCUCACCAAUGUUCAUCGAUGGGGAGAACAGAAUUAGAAACAUGUCUGGAGCCAUCACAUGAAGACUUCCAAGAUGAUGUGAUGAAGUCCAGACUGACUCGAUACUGACGUCUCUGAACGGAGAAAGGCCUGGUACUUGGCAUUAAGAUUUUACUAGACACAACUUUUACUUGUAUGUUUUUUUGUAUUUAUUAUUAAAUGUAAUGGUAUCAGUCAAUGUGUAGAGAGAGAAACCCUGUGUAUUCUGCACCAGGAUCAGGAACUCCUGCUGUACACGGUACACCACCCAGGAAGGUAUGACCACUGACAUGUUACCAUGGUAGCCCCAUUACCACCACCCAGGAAGGUAUGACCACUGACAUGUUACCAUGGUAACCUCAUUACCACCACCCAGGAAGGUAUGACCACUCUGACAUGUUACCAUGGUAACCCCAUUACCACCACCCAGGAAGGUAUGACCACUCUGACAUGUUACCAUGGUAACCCCAUUACCAACACCCAGGAAGGUAUGACCACUCUGACAUGUUACCAUGGUAACCCCAUUACCACCACCCAGGAAGGUAUGACCACUCUGACAUGUUAC
rnacentral:lncRNA from 1 species